GACGAACGCUGGCGGCGUGCUUAACACAUGCCAGUCGAACGGAAAGGCCUCUUUCGGGGGGUACUCGAGUGGCGAACGGGUGAGUAACACGUGAGUAACCUGCCCUUGACUUUGGGAUAACUUCAGGAAACUGGGGCUAAUACCGGAUAGGAGCUCCUGCUGCAUGGUGGGGGUUGGAAAGUUUCGGCGGUUGGGGAUGGACUCGCGGCUAAUCAGCUUGUUGGUGGGGGAGUGGCUGAGCAAGGCUUUGACGGGGAGCCGGCCUGAGAGGGUGACCGGCCACAGUGGGACUGAGACACGGCCCAGACUCCGACGGGAGGCAGCAGUGGGGAAGAUUGCACAAGGGGUGUAAGCCAGAUGCAGCAACGCCGAUGGCGGGUGGACGGCCUUCGGGUUGGAAUCCGCAUGCGCUCAUGACGAAGCUUUGUGUGACGGUAGUGGGUAAAGAAGCACCGGCUAACUACGUG
rnacentral:rRNA from 1 species